UGCUUAACACAUGCAAGUCGAGCGGUAAGGCCCUUCGGGGUACACGAGCGGCGAACGGGUGAGUAACACGUGGGUGAUCUGCCUCGUACUCUGGGAUAAGCCUGGGAAACUGGGUCUAAUACCGGAUAUGACCACGAAUCGCAUGGUUUGUGGUGGAAAGAUUUAUCGGUGCGAGAUGGGCCCGCGGCCUAUCAGCUUGUUGGUGGGGUAAUGGCCUACCAAGGCGACGACGGGUAGCCGGCCUGAGAGGGCGACCGGCCACACUGGGACUGAGACACGGCCCAGACUCCUACGGGAGGCAGCAGUGGGGAAUAUUGCACAAUGGGCGGAAGCCUGAUGCAGCGACGCCGCGUGAGGGAUGACGGCCUUCGGGUUGUAAACCUCUUUCGACAGGGACGAAGCGCAAGUGACGGUACCUGUAGAAGAAGCACCGGCCAACUACGUGCCAGCAGCCGCGGUAAUACGUAGGGUGCGAGCGUUGUCCGGAAUUACUGGGCGUAAAGAGCUUGUAGGCGGUUCGUCGCGUCGAUCGUGAAAACUUGCAGCUCAACUGCGAGCUUGCGGUCGAUACGGGCGGACUAGAGUACUGCAGGGGAGACUGGAAUUCCUGGUGUAGCGGUGAAAUGCGCAGAUAUCAGGAGGAACACCGGUGG
rnacentral:rRNA from 1 species